rnacentral:rRNA from 1 species
GCAGUAGCCGCGGUAAUACGAAGGGGGCUAGCGUUGUUCGGAUUAACUGGGCGUAAAGGGCGCGUAGGCGGGUUUUUAAGUCAGAGGUGAAAUCCCAAGGCUCAACCUUGGAACUGCCUUUGAUACUGGAAGUCUUGAGUCCGGGAGAGGUGAGUGGAACUGCGAGUGUAGAGGUGAAAUUCGUAGAUAUUCGCAAGAACACCAGUGGCGAAGGCGGCUCACUGGCCCGGUACUGACGCUGAGGCGCGGAAGCGUGGGGAGCAAACAGGAUUAGAGACCCGCGUAGUCCCUGUCUCUUAUAC